CUUCCAUUCUUGGCAUGCAUGCUUUCUCCCUGUACCUGUGUGUGUGUGUGUGUGUGUGUGUGUGUUAUGGAAGGAUAACAAGGCCAGUGCUAUGUCUUCGGUGCCAGAAUGUUCCUUGUCUUCUGGUUCUGUCCUCAAUUCGCUGGUACAUCC
rnacentral:snoRNA from 1 species